rnacentral:rRNA from 1 species
UCUAAAGAGACUGCCGAUGCAAAUCGGAGGAAGUGGGGAUGACGUCAAAUCAUCAUGCCCUUUAUGUCCUGGGCUACACACGUGCUACAAUGGUCGGUACAACGAGAAGCAAGCCAGCGAUGGCAAGCGAAAAUCCUACUAAAACGCCGAUCCCAGUUCGGAUUGCAGGCUGCAACUCGCCUGCAUGAAGUCGGAGUUGCUAGUAAUCGCAGGUCAGCAUACUGCGGUGAAUACGUUCCCGGGCCUU